AGCCAGUACAGCACAAGGAAAGGUGUGCAACUCUAGAAUCAGAAAAAUACUAAUCAGUACAAAAACAAGAUUGAAUUAUGCACUCAUUAGGGAGAUGAAGUUCAAAGUUUUAAAAGCCUUGUCAUGACUCUUUCUUUUCGUUGGAUUCUCCCCCUUUGCGUUUAAUUUGUCACACCCAAUGGAUUCAUUCUGCUGGAUUUCCUGGGGUUGUGAUCCUCAUUUUCUUUUCCUAGGGUAUUGUCUAAAAUUUUUUGGAGUGCUGGUUUGGUAUUCAUGAAGUUCCUGAGGUGCUCUUUAUCAUGAAAGUAUCUUAUUUCUUCAUCAAUUUUGAAAGAUAGUUUUGCAGGGUACAUCAAUCUAGGAUGGAGGCUGUUUUCCUUUAGGGCUUGAAAUACAGCACUCCAAGCUCUUCUUGCCUUGAGGGUUUGCAUUGAGAAGUCUGCUGUGAUUCUGAUGGGCUUUCCUUUGUAUGUGAUUUGUUUCUUUUCUCUCACUGCUUGUAGAAUUUUGUUCUUCUGUUGGAUUUCUGGAAUCCUAACUAUUAUAUGCCUACGUGUAGGGUUUUUUUUUUUUGAUCAAGGCUAUUUAGAGUCCUAUAUGCCUCACUUAUCUGUAUGUCAAGUUCUUUUCCCUUCCUUGGGAAGUUUUCCGCCAUCACUUCUGUGAAUAGUUUUUUGAUGUCAUCUGCACCCUCUCCUCUUUCUUCUUUGACUCCGAUCAGUCUUAUGUUACUCUUCUUUGCAUCGUCUAGCAGCUGCUGGAUUGAUUUCUUGUGUUCCCUUACAAUUUUAAAGCAAUUUUUCUUUUCCUGGUCACUAAUUGCAAUCUUUUCUUCUAUAUCUGAAAUUCAAUCCUCACAUUGGUUCAUUCUGCUGCGCAGACUUUCAGUGGAGUUUUUAUUCUCCUGGAAAUCUGUUUGCAUCUGUUUUAUGGAUUCCAUUUGUUUCCUAUGUUGGGAGUGCAUCAUGUUCUUCAGAUCCUCUAUUUUUUUAUCUAUGUCCUCUCUAGAUUUAUUAAUCAUGUCUUGCACCAUGAGCAAAAUCUUUGCUGUUAUCUGAGUAAUUAUUUCUGAUUUCAUUUUUCCCAGAUCCUCUUUUGUUGCCAGUUCAGAGAGUCCAGGUGGUUGAGUAUCAGAUUGUUAUCUCAUUUCCCUUUGGGGUUGCUGUAGGUGAUCCAAAAGUCUGUUUUUGAGGCUUGUUUAUGUGUCUUCUCAUUUCUAUGGUGGGGGUGGUUCUUCUGGCACCCUUCUGGGUUCUGGGACCGGCUCACCAUCUCUGCCCUAAGAUCUUGGGAUGGUGGCAGGGGAACUUCCUUCUGGGUUUUGGGACUGGCUCAGCUUCUCUGCCCUAGGGACUUGGGAUGGUGGCGGGGGAGCUUCCUUCUGGGUUCUGGGACUUGCUCAGCUUCUCUGCCCUAGGAGCUUGGGAUGGUGGCAGGGGAGCUUCCUUCUGGGUUCUGGGACUGGAUCACCUUCUCUGCCCUAGGAGCUUGGGAUAGCAGUGGGGGAGCUUUCUUCUGGGUUCUGGGACCAGCUCACCUUCUCUGCCCUAAGAUCUUGGGAUGGUGGCAGGGGAACUUCCUUCUGGGUUUUGGGACUGGCUCAGCUUCUCUGCCCUAGGAACUUGGGAUGGUGGCGGGGGAGCUUCCUUCUGGGUUCUGGGACUGGAUCACCUUCUCUGCCCUAGGAGCUUGGAAUGGUGGCAGGGGAGCUUCCUUCUGGGUUCUGGGACUUGCUCAGCUUCUCUGCCCUAGGAGCUUGGGAUGGUGGCGAGGGAGCUUCCUUCCGGGUGGUGGGAACGGCUCACUUUAUCUCAAUCUUUGGUAGAUCCUCGUUCCCGACCUUAGAAAGUAUAAACACACAGCCAAGAGCACCAAAACAAUCAUGUCCCCUAGUUCUCACCACACUAGACUGCAGAGCCUCAAGUCACCCAGCUCAGGACGACAGAGCUCCCACGCAGCACUUUGGCUCUCGCAACACAAUGUUUUAAUCCAAAGGGAAAAUGAAAACCAAAAAUCUUUUCUCAAAAGACAGCAUUAUAUUUUUGUUACAUAAAAAAUAGCCAAAGUAUAAACCCUGUUUCUUAGUUCCACCAAACUUACAUGAUAAUCCAGAAUUCCUUGACAAUUGAUCAUUAAAUAAUUUUU
ensembl:lncRNA